rnacentral:rRNA from 1 species
AUUGAACGCUGGCGGCAGGCCUAACACAUGCAAGUCGAGCGGAUGAAGGGAGCUUGCUCCUGGAUUCAGCGGCGGACGGGGGAGUAAUGCCUAGGAAUCUGCCGGGUAGUGGGGGAUAACGUCCGGAAACGGGCGCUAAUACCGCAUACGUCCUGAGGGAGAAAGUGGGGGAUCUUCGGACCUCACGCUAUCAGAUGAGCCUAGGUCGGAUUAGCUAGUUGGUGGGGUAAAGGCCUACCAAGGCGACGAUCCGUAACUGGUCUGAGAGGAUGAUCAGUCACACUGGAACUGAGACACGGUCCAGACUCCUACGGGAGGCAGCAGUGGGGAAUAUUGGACAAUGGGCGAAAGCCUGAUCCAGCCAUGCCGCGUGUGUGAAGAAGGUCUUCGGAUUGUAAAGCACUUUAAGUUGGGAGGAAGGGCAGUAAGUUAAUACCUUGCUGUUUUGACGUUACCAACAGAAUAAGCACCGGCUAACUUCGUG